UACGGGGGGGGCAAGCGUUGUUCGGAAUUACUGGGCGUAAAGGGCGCGUAGGCGGCCUUCUAAGUCGGACGUGAAAUCCCCAGGCUUAACCUGGGAACUGCGUCGGAUACUGGCCGGCUUGAAUUCGGGAGAGGGAUGCAGAAUUCCAGGUGUAGCGGUGAAAUGCGUAGAUAUCUGGAGGAAUACCGGUGGCGAAGGCGGCAUCCUGGACCGACAUUGACGCUGAACGGCGAAAGCUAGGGGAGCAAACGGG
rnacentral:rRNA from 1 species